AGAUUGAACGCUGGCGGCAUGCCUAACACAUGCAAGUCGAACGGGAGUAGCAAUACUCUAGUGGCGGACGGGUGAGGAAUACGUAGGAAUUUGCCCUUAAGUGGGGGAUAACCCGGGGAAACCCGGAUUAAUACCGCAUGACCUCGAAAGAGCAAAGUGGGGGAUCGCAAGACCUCACGCUUUUGGAGAAGCCUACGUCGGAUUAGCUAGUUGGUGAGGUAAUGGCUCACCAAGGCGACGAUCCGUAACUGGUCUGAGAGGAUGAUCAGUCACACCGGAACUGAGACACGGUCCGGACUCCUACGGGAGGCAGCAGUGGGGAAUAUUGGACAAUGGGCGCAAGCCUGAUCCAGCAAAUGCCGCGUGUGUGAAGAAGGCCU
rnacentral:rRNA from 1 species